AAGAUGGUAUCGCGACAUUCACAAACGUUCAAUGUAGCUAAGAUAAAAAUACAUAGGUUUAGAACGUUCCAUUUCACAGGUAUUUAAAGUGUCACUUGAGAUAUAUUUCUUAUCCAGGAUAAAUAAGUAUCGUGAUUGCGACUAUCCGAUUUGAGUUGUCUAGAUUUAAUCUCAGCCAUGAUAACUGAGAAUUCCUUUAUUUGGGUGCCACCGAUUAAUCCUAUCGUCUACUAAUUGCGUAGUGAUGUAAUACAGGAAAACACAAAGAAUCGCAGCUACCAAGAUCGUUGUCUUUGGAAGAGAGAUUGAAAGAUUAUUCGAUUAUAUUGGCUCGCACCGAGGAUUAAAGAAGAUUAGUCUCUUUUUAAUCAUUAUUGCCGCAAGGAGUUUCUCAUCAAUUCACACAAAUCAUCAAUUCGCUCGCCCCUGCUUGUGAUCGAACGUAUAAAUGCUUGAAGGGAAGAGAGAACAGAUACAUUUCUCACCCUCCUCAGAGAGAUGCUGAAGAGGCGCGUGCGGUGGUCGAUCUUGGAGUACCACGGAAGCCCUUCGAAAUCGGAGCGAGAUAUGUCAACGAAGGGGUGCGAUAUUUUUUCACGGGUGACAACGGUCUCACCAUUCACCACUUUCGGUGGCCGCGACCCUAACUGCUUUGGGUACGAUGCGAUAUUUAGGCGAAUAUGGGCCAAUAGCAAAGGAAUGCGCAGGGUCGACAAUAGAUUCUUCAGCGCCACGAUAGAUUCUUUGACGAGCAACACACGAAUGAAGGAAUCGAGCAAUAUCAACAAAUAUCAAAAAAACCCUCGUCGCUUCCCUGUUGAUGUUUUAGAUAAAAUUAAUCGGAAUUUAUGAAAAAGGCUUAAGAUACUUCUUCCUUUAAUAGAGACAAUAUCAAGUCGAUAACAUCUAAUUCUGAGGAAGAAAGGAACAGAGAAAGAUAUGGAAUUUAAUCUUAUUCGCAAAUUGCACAUAAUAUAAUAUUGAAAAUAAUGAAGCUAUAAGUUUACGAUGUUUGUACAAUUCAAGUUAAAAAAA
rnacentral:lncRNA from 1 species